GUGCAAAUAAGAUACUUUGGUCCUGAUACCAGACACCAGAGUGCUGAAGAUGGUGUGAAGUGAUGGCUGUUCACAGAUCUCCUGCAUCCAACUCUACAGAUGAGAAAACGGAUUUUUAAAAAUAGUGAAAGUCACUUGUCCACACAUCUGUUGAGUGAUGAAUCUGAAGCCCCACUUCCCUGAUGCAAAGUCAAUGCCCUGAGAGACCCACCAAAUGGAGAAGACCACCCAAGGCCUCAGGAACACAAUCUUGAGAAAGUGGGCUCCAGCUGAACACCAUGUUUCUUGGAUUAAUCACUUUCAUCCACGUUUGGGUUUGCAGCCCCCCAGUAUCAUGUGUGUAUUGUGGGUGCUCACUCUCCAGCCCCACUCCCAUGCCCAAAGCCUCAUGCCAAAACCUGACACUCGUAAAGAGAAAAGGCCUGCGUAGUGAGUCACAUGAAGCCUGGCUGAGGAGUAUGGAACUCUGGACCCUCCUCCACAUGCUAGGAAUGCCAGCUUCCUGGUCUCACCCGGAGUAGUGCAGCCAACAUCUGGGAAGCAUAAAAAUUUUGGAGCUCUUGUUUGAGAUAUUUCCUGCUGUGUUCUUGGCUCAUCUGAACAGAGAAUUUUUAACUCAUAUCUGAAAACCUGUUUUGGUUGAAUAUUUGCCUUUUCCCUCUAUGGUGGCCUUGCUAGUGAUACUCUUAGACAAAAGGCCUCUUUAUAUAUUUUUAUGGAAUAUUACAUCUGCCCUUUACUUCAUCUUAGGACUACAGUCACUUAUGAUACCUCUCCCCCAACAAAAACACACUUAACCAAAUUUACAUCUCCAUUAAUAGAGUAUCAACAACUUUGAGAGAAGGCAGAUAAAAACCAUAAUAUGUAGGAAUGCAUCAAUUUUAUAACAAUACAUUUAUAAGAUAGAAAUAAAAACACAUGGCCAUUAAUAGUUUUUCCUGAUGUCCAUAAAAAACACAGGGAGGGGAGGACCAACCCCUUCUGCUGAGAGCAGACAGGCACAAUGGGCAGAGCUUGACUACAAACCU